AUUCCGCGUGGCGUUUAUCCUCUGAACUCCCCCAGGGCAGGAAUGCAGCAAGGGUCAGGAGGCUCUGGCGGGUGCGCGGGG
rnacentral:SRP_RNA from 1 species